rfam:Schistosoma haematobium scaffold168_2, whole genome shotgun sequence.
AUCGAGCUGACGAGUCUCAAAUAGGACGAAACGCGCGUCCUGGAU